ensembl:lncRNA
GCCUAUGCUAGUAUGUUAUUCAGAAUUCAGUUAUACAUGGUCUGUAGGCCUACUGAUUAGCAGGGUCAUGCUAAUUUGAAUCAGGUGUUGAUUUGUCUAAUGGGAAACGACACUUUGUAGACUUGCUGCAAGCUGUUUGUUGCUCCUUCAGCGUGCUUCAUCUGAUGAAGUUUGCCAUGAAAACGAUAUCACUUCAGCUCAAGGUGUAUUAUGCUUCAUUUCAUUGUCUUGAAUUAUCCGCAAGACAUCUUUUCAAGGUCUGUGUACAUGGGUCCUGAUAAAUGUGCUUUGACUGGCUGUUCUGCAGUGUUCUGUCUGCACUUAUCUGAGGUGACUUACAGAACUAAACACAACAUGUAAUGUAUCAAUGUUAACAUAAAUACAAGGGCA